AUUAGCAAUCCAUUUUCCGAGCUACCAACCGGAGUUGGUACUUGCUGACCAAUCAGAAUCCACGUGUGACUUCAACUUUUAACUCGGUGACGUAAUCAUCGGUCACCCACACAAACAGUACCCCGCGAGUAUCUUUGAUGUUUCCCCGCAAGUUACACUACACUGUAAGCGCAACUUAGAACAGUCCGGCGCACACAAUCCCGCGAGCUCUAAACCGCCUUUUUUCUUCAGGUUUCGAAAUCCAUGCCCACCAAAAUCUAACCUCUCAUUCCUCUCCGUUUUGUCUUCGAAGAUCGAUCAAAACCCUAACCCUAGGCGAAAAUUAUCGUCGUCUUCAGUUCAGAUAUGAAAUGAUUGAAGAAUUAUUAUGAUUUGGGGUCAGUAUGAGGGACAUCAAGCAUUUGCCUGAGGCUGUUCGCAGCUCGGUUCGUUCUGGCAUUGUCUUGUUCAACUUGACCAGAAUCGUGGAAGAGCUGAUUUUCAACAGUCUUGAUGCUCGUGCAACCAAGGUAAAAUUUUGAAAUGUAUUUUUAUAAGAUUGUAAAAUGUAUGAAUUUAAAAUCUGAAAACUGAAAUGAAUUUGGAAAAAUCAGAAGUUCCAAAAUAAAAAAAAAAAC